GUGAAUCAUCGAAUCUUUGAACGCAAAUUGCGCUUCCUGGUAUCCCGGGAAGUAUGCCUGUUUGAGGGUCAGUAUUAACAUAAAAUCGGUUUGGUUGCAGAUUGUGACGUUUCCUGAGUUUGGGCUUAUCUUAACUGUUUUGGUUAAUUUGCUUAAAAGUGAUCUUUUUUGCUCUUUUUUAGACGUACAUAAAUUUUUUUUUAUUCGUCUAUUCUCUAUGCCAAAAUUUUAUUAUAUGCGGUCAC
rnacentral:misc_RNA from 1 species